rnacentral:rRNA from 1 species
AGCACCGAGACGAGCCUUUAUGGCGAAGUCACUGAUACCACGCUUCCAGGAAAAGCUCCUAAGCUUCAGCUCACGAAGACCGUACCGUAAACCGACACAGGUGGGUAGGAUGAGAAUUCUCAGGCGCUUGAGAGAACUCGGGUGAAGGAACUAGGCAACAUGGCACCGUAACUUCGGGAGAAGGUGCACCCUUUUUGGUGGCUCAUGCGAGCUAUAGCUGAAGAGGGUCGCAGAAACCAGGCCGCUGCGACUGUUUAUCAAAAACACAGCACUCUGCAAACACGAAAGUGGACGUAUAGGGUGUGACGCCUGCCCGGUGCUGGAAGGUUAAUUGAUGGGGUCAGCCGCAAGGCGAAGCUCUUGAUCGAAGCCCCAGUAAACGGCGGCCGUAACUAUAACGGUCCUAAGGUAGCGAAAUUCCUUGUCGGGUAAGUUCCGACCUGCACGAAUGGCGUAACGACAGCGGCGCUGUCUCCACCCGAGACUCAGUGAAAUUGAAAUCGCUGUGAAGAUGCAGCGUUCCCGUGGCAAGACGGAAAGACCCCGUGAACCUUUACUAUAGCUUUACACUGAACGUUGAGUUCGUCUGUGUAGGAUAGGUGGGAGGCUAUGAAACUGUGGCGCUAGCUGCAGUGGAGCCAUCCUUGAAAUACCACCCUGUCGUGCUUGACGUUCUAACCUAGAUCCGUUAUCCGGAUCAGGGACCGUGUAUGGUGGGUAGUUUGACUGGGGCGGUCUCCUCCUAAAGAGUAACGGAGGAGCACGAAGGUACGCUCAGCGCGGUCGGACAUCGCGCACUGUGUGCAAAGGCAUAAGCGUGCUUGACUGCAAGAUCGACGGAUCAAGCAGGUACGAAAGUAGGUCUUAGUGAUCCGGUGGUUCUGUAUGGAAGGGCCAUCGCUCAACGGAUAAAAGGUACUCCGGGGAUAACAGGCUGAUACCGCCCAAGAGUUCAUAUCGACGGCGGUGUUUGGCACCUCGAUGUCGGCUCAUCACAUCCUGGGGCUGUAGUCGGUCCCAAGGGUAUGGCUGUUCGCCAUUUAAAGUGGUACGCGAGCUGGGUUCAGAACGUCGUGAGACAGUUCGGUCCCUAUCUGCCAUGGGCGUUGGAAGUUUGAGAGGGGCUGCUCCUAGUACGAGAGGACCGGAGUGGACGAACCUCUGGUGUUCCGGUUGUCACGCCAGUGGCAUUGCCGGGUAGCUAUGUUCGGAAGCGAUAACCGCUGAAAGCAUCUAAGCGGGAAGCGCGCCUCAAGAUGAGACUUCCCGGGGCACAAGCCCCCUAAAGGAACCAUAUAGACUAUGUGGUUGAUAGGUCAGGUGUGUAAGUACAGCAAUGUAUUGAGCUAACUGAUACUAAUGAUCCGUGCGGCUUGACCAUAUAACCUCA